AAUGUGAAAGUUGGAGAAAUGUACAGAUUCUGUGGUAUGUGUUCAUUACUCUAUAUGCUUCUAUAGAAGUACAAUGUGACAGAGCAAAGCAGAGAGAUGAUCACCAAUGACCAAAGUGACUACAACAACAGCAAAGACAGGAAAUGUGGAAAGCCUAAAUAAGUGGGUGGGCAACAGGAGGUACCUGAGAAAUUAGUUUAAAAAGACAUUUAAUGCAGAUAUGUUGAGAUAAGAAGAACAAAUAUGUUUAAAUAUCUGAAUACUUUUCACAUUGUGAAUUAAGUCAAAGGUUUCCAUGCAGUGGCUCAUUUUUCUUCUGCUAAUUAAAACGUGCAGUAGAUCUGAUCAAACUCGUAGCUCUCUCCUUCAUCACUCGUAUGACUAUCAUUACAAGCUCCAAUGUUUUGUCAGUGGUUAUAAUGCCACUGAUGGGACUCCAAAGCCCCCUGCAGUAACAGACGGGUGAUGUCACUCUGGCUUAGUCCAUUCAUUCUUACAGGCUGUGGUUGCACACCAGAGAAAAAUUAGAUACAUUGAAAACCAACAUUUUAAACAUCUAAUCCACAUUCUAUAUUUGACCUAGCCUCCAGUGACUCCGGUGACUCCAUCGGUCCACCCCAUGUUGAGCCUGGUGUAUCUUGGAUGAUGGUGUUCAGUCCAGCCAUCACGGUCCUCUCCACCUUCCUGUGCCUGACUUUUGUUUAUCUCUGCAGUCAGAAUGCAGAUGAAAAAGAUCAAAUGACUGAGAGAAGACCUGACAUGGGAGAGGAAAGUACAGUGAAUCAGGAUGAAGACGCAUGUUUCACCAGAGUUGUGUUCUUGUGUGUCGAUGGACGGAACAAAUAGAUUGGCUUUGUCUGAGCGGACAUCACACAAGCUCCACUUCAAACUUCUCACAAAGUCUUUAGAGUCCGAGUUUAAAGACCUGUUAUAUUUGUACACAGUGAUGAUGCG